UUUCUACCACGCCCUAUCCCCCUUAAUACCCCAUAUAUCCCCUUGCUACCACCCAUAUCCCCUUCUACACCCUAUAUCCCUUAAUAUACCCCANUAUACCCCAUUAUAGCCCCAUAUACCCCAUUAUACCCCCAUAUACCCCAUUAUAGCCCCAUAUACCCCAUUAUACCCCCCUAUACCCCUUCUACCACCCUAUACCCCUUAAUACCCCCCUAUAUCCCCUUCUACCACCCCAUACCCCUUAAUACCCCCCUAUAUCCCUUUCUACCACCCUAUACCCCUUAAUAACCCCAUAUAUCCCCUUCUACCACCCUAUAUCCCCUUCUACCACCCUAUAUCCCUUAAUACCCCCCUAUAUCCCCUUCUACCACCCUAUACCCCUUAAUACCCCCCUAUAUCCCCUUCUACCACCCUAUAUCCCCUUCUACCACCCUAUACCCCUUAAUAACCCCCUAUACCCCCUUCUACCACCCUAUACCCCUUAAUACCCCCCUAUAUCCCCUUCUACCACCCUAUACCCCCUUCUACCACCCUAUACCCCUUAAUACCCCCCUAUACCCCCUUCUACCCCCCUAUAUCCCCUUCUACUCCCCUUAAUACCCCCCUAUAUCCCCUUCUACCACCCUAUACCCCCUUAUACCCUCCUAUAUCCCCUUCUACCCCCCAUAUCUCCCCCUAUACCCCAUAAUACCCCCAUAUACUCCAUAUAGUCCCCUAUAUCUCCCCCUAUAGUUAUCGUAUGGCUCGAGCUCCCCGGCCCUAUCGAACCGUCAGCGUUUCCCGACGUUUUUCCGCACCCACCCCUCUGCCACGUUGCACAACCCGACGCGGGUUCAGCUCUUCCGUAAAUGGGGAUGGACCAAAAUCGCCACCAUCCAACAGACAACGGAGGUCUUCACAUCGACCCUGGACGACCUGGAUCAACGUGUCCGUGAGGCCGGGCUGGAGAUCACCUUCAGACAGAGCUUCUUCUCCGACCCCGCAGCGCCAGUGAGGAACCUAAAGGUAAAACCCCAUAGAGACCCAUAGAGACCCAUAGAAACCCAUAGAGACCCAUAGGAACCGCAUAGAGACCAUAGGAAACCCAUAGAGACCCAGUUAGAGACCCCAUAGAGACCCAUAGGAAAACCCAUAGAGACCCC
rnacentral:lncRNA from 1 species